rnacentral:miRNA from 1 species
GGUUUCUCUGUGUAGCCUUGGCUGUCCUGGGACUCACUCUGUAGACCAGGCUGGCCUCGAACUCACAGAGGUUCUCCUGCCUCUGCCUCUCAAGUGCUGGGAUUAAAGGCAUGCGCCACCAAUGCCUG